GCGUCACGUUCUACCGACUCAAAGAGAGAUUUUCUACACCCACUUACAGGUAAAAUAAAUUAUAUUAUAAAUAUUUAAUUUAUAUGAUAUUUUUUUAAUAUUUAUUAUUGGCAGGGUGUAUUCGACAUCGUUGAUUUUGAGGAGGAUCGUGUGAGGCGAGUUAUCGACACUCAUCUAUCCUUAUGUUUCAAGGAUUAUCACCAUUACAUCCAUCAGCAUUGGUACCAGGUGGUGUAGGAUCAUGGGGAGGAGGUAGCGCGGCAGCAGCCCUAUGACAACAUCACCAUAGACGAUUGGACUGCCAUAUGCCGGCAAUACGAGGAUCCGAUAUAUCAGGUUACA
rnacentral:lncRNA from 1 species